AAACUGCCUGAUGGAGGGGGAUAACUACUGGAAACGGUAUCUAAUACCGCAUAACGUCGCAAGACCAAAGAGGGAGACCUUCGGGCCUCUUGCCGUCAUAUGUGCCCAUAUGGUAUUAUCUAGUAUGUGGGGUAACGGCUCCCCUASGAGACUAUCCCUAUGUGGUCUGAGAAGAUGACCACCCACUCUGGAACUGAGACACGGUCCACACUCCUACGGGAGGCAGCAGUGGGGAAUAUUGCACAGUGGGCGCACCCCUGAUGCACCCGUGCCGCGUGUAUGAAGAAGGCCUUCGGGUUGUAAAGUACUUUCCGCGGAGAAGAAGGUGUUGGGGAUAAUAACCUCGGCUAUUGACUUUACCCGCAAAAGAAGCCCCGGCUAUCUCCGUGCCAGCAACCGCGGUAAUACAGAGGGUGCAAGCGUUAAUCAGAAUUACUGGGUGUAAAGCGCACGCAAGCGGUCUGUCAAGUCAUAUGUGAAAUCCCCGGUCUCACCCUG
rnacentral:rRNA from 1 species